UGCAGUCGAGCGGCAGCGACUUACUGANCCUUCGGGGAACGUUAAGGGCGGCGAGCGGCGGACGGGUGAGUAAUGCCUGGGAAUAUGCCCUGAUGUGGGGGAUAACUAUUGGAAACGAUAGCUAAUACCGCAUAAUCUCUUCGGAGCAAAGAGGGGGACCUUCGGGCCUCUCGCGUCAGGAUUAGCCCAGGUGGGAUUAGCUUGUUGGUGAGGUAAUGGCUCACCAAGGCAACGAUCCCUAGCUGGUCUGAGAGGAUGAUCAGCCACACUGGAACUGAGACACGGUCCAGACUCCUACGGGAGGCAGCAGUGGGGAAUAUUGCACAAUGGGGGAAACCCUGAUGCAGCCAUGCCGCGUGUGUGAAGAAGGCCUUCGGGUUGUAAAGCACUUUCAGUAGGGAGGAAGGUAGUGUAGUUAACACCUGCNNUAUUUGACGUUACCUACAGAAGAAGCACCGGCUAACUCCGUGCCAGCAGCCGCGGUAAUACGGAGGGUGCGAGCGUUAAUCGGAAUUACUGGGCGUAAAGCGCAUGCAGGCGGCCUGUUAAGUCAGAUGUGAAAGCCCGGGGCUUAACCUCGGAAUUGCAUUUGAAACUGGCAGGCUAGAGUCUUGUAGAGGGGGGUAGAAUUUCAGGUGUAGCGGUGAAAUGCGUANAGAUCUGAAGGAAUACCAGUGGCGAAGGCGGCCCCCUGNACAAAGACUGACGCUCANAUGCGAAAGCGUGGGGAGCAAACAGGAUUAGAUACCCUGNNAGUCCACGCCGUAAACGAUGUC
rnacentral:rRNA from 1 species